rnacentral:rRNA from 1 species
AUGGCGGCGCCGCGGAGGAGCGGGGCGCGGCUCGCGGCGUUCCUCGCGCUGCUGCUGUAUCUCGCGGCGGUGAUCGAGGGGAAGAGCUUCUACGACGUGCUGCAAGUCCCCAAGGGCGCGUCGGAGGAUCAGAUCAAGAGGUCGUACCGCAAGCUCGCGCUCAAGUACCACCCCGACAAGAACCCCGACAACGAGGAGGCCACCAAGCGAUUCGCCGAGAUCAAUAAUGCGUAUGAGGUCUUGACGGAUCAGGAGAAGAGGAAGAUCUAUGACCGGUAUGGUGAGGAGGGGCUGAAGCAGUUCCAAGGCGGGAGAGGAGGAGGUGGUGGUGGGAUGAACAUGCAGGACAUCUUCAGCAGCUUUUUCGGAGGAGGUGGUGGUGGUAUGGAAGAGGAGGAAGAACAGAUCGUAAAAGGUGAUGAUGUGAUUGUUGAACUGGAUGCUUCACUAGAGGACCUGUACAUGGGUGGUUCAUUAAAGGUUUGGAGAGAAAAAAACAUCAUAAAACCAGCACCAGGAAAGAGACGAUGCAACUGCAGGAAUGAAGUUUACCACCGUCAAAUUGGUCCUGGAAUGUAUCAACAAAUGACCGAGCAGGUCUGCGACCAGUGUCCAAAUGUGAAGUAUGUACGAGAAGGUGAUUUUUUAACUGUUGAUAUUGAGAAGGGUAUGCAAGAUGGACAGGAAGUUUCAUUCUUCGAGGAAGGAGAGCCUAAGAUUGAUGGAGAACCUGGAGACUUGAAGUUCAGGAUUCGGACAGCACCACAUGACCGCUUCAGAAGAGAAGGCAAUGACCUGCAUGCAACAGUUACAAUCUCCCUGCUCCAAGCUCUGGUUGGAUUUGAGAAGAACCUCAAGCAUCUUGACAACCACCUUGUCCAAAUCGGCUCCCAGGGUGUCACUAAGCCCAAGGAGGUAAGGAAAUUCAAAGGAGAGGGCAUGCCAUUGCACCAAAGCAACAAGAAAGGUGAUCUGUAUGUGACGUUCGAGGUGUUGUUCCCAAAAACCCUGACGGACGACCAGAAGGCCAAGCUGAAGGAGGUUCUUGCAUAA